GGCAGAGCAUGCAGUAACGUUGCCUGGCUGCAAGGCUGAAUGCAACAUCCUGGAGUCUGCAUUACAAAGUGAUGUCUGGAUUUCACAGACUUUUAAAUAAAAGGUUGAAGUUCUCAAAAAUUAGACAUUGAACACAGUGGCUCAGGCUUUAAAGAAAAUUCACAAGACUUGUAAAAAGGAAUUCUCCAUUUACCAUAUAGAUGGAUCCAUUGAUGGAAGAGCUUCCAGGCUUCAUGGUUACUCAAGAACUGAACUUUGAAAUUCCUUUUUUUUCUGAAAUCCAUUACUAUCCCAUUACAGAACAGAAAUAUAUCUGUCAAAUUCUACCUGCAUACUAAAAUAAAAGGUAAC